rnacentral:misc_RNA from 1 species
GUAUACAACGCUGAAGCGUUCUGCAAAUGAUAACUUGCAGAGGUUAUGUCAGCAUACGAAAUUUCCCGUGAAAGAUGUGUUGCGCCUUCAGCAGUGGUUAAAAGAAAUGAAGAGGAAGGACUGGAAGCCAAACCGAAAUAGCACAUUGUGUUCGGCUCAUUUUACAAAUGACUGCUUUGAUAGGACAGGAUUCCUAAUUACAUUGAAAAAGAACAGUGUACCAACUAUAUUUGACAACCCAAAAUCAGAGUGUUCAUCUUGUCACCGAUUAAGGGAAUAUGGACGUGGCUAUUCAUUCUUCAAGUUCCCAUUGGAUGAACCUGAUAUUAUGAAGCAGUGGAUCGCAAAUAUAAACAUUGGUCCGUGGUCUCCAUCAAGUGAUAGCUUUCUGUGUUCCGACCACUUUGAACUCUCUUGCUUUCAGAAGAAAAGUAAAAAUUAUAUAACUUUACCAAAAGGCAGUAUCCCAACGUUAUUUGGUAAGAUCUGAAACUAUUAAUCCCUUUUAGGUCAGAGAAAACUCAGUGUGCAUAAAGACACGUUGAUGUGAUGCACUAUUGCGUCAAUGUCGUCGAAGCGGUUAAUUACCUACAGAUUAUAAAGUGCUCUGUUACAGAAAAAUCGUGUGUGACACAUUUCUGUGUAUUUCCAUUGUCGUUAUUUAUUAGUAACUUAUCUGUCGGUGAAAACUUGCAGCAGACCGAAUUUCAGGAUGAAUCCGAUCGGCCCACCACAGUGAAUGUAACCAAAUUACAUGAGCACCUACACAUUUGUACCUGAUUUGCAUGCUCAGAUAUGUACAUCUUUUUUAUUUUCUUUUCAUUGUGCUUGUAACUUUUUCUUCAUGUGAAUGGAUUGUGGAUUGAUACUACUAAUUAUAUUGUUGUGGUUUAUCGCACGCAACUCUAUAAAAAUUCCUUAACGUUUGCAAGGAAUGUUUUAUUCUCCAUAUUUUUGAAUAAAGUUUUUACUCACCCAAUAUGAUAUAAUUUAAUU